rnacentral:rRNA from 1 species
UACGUAGGGUGCAAGCGUUAAUCGGAAUUACUGGGCGUAAAGCGUGCGCAGGCGGUUUUGUAAGUCUGUCGUGAAAGCCCCGGGCUCAACCAGGGAAUUGCGAUGGAGACUGCAAGGCUUGAAUCUGCAGAGGGGGGUAGAAUUCCACGUGUAGCAGUGAAAUGCGUAGAGAUGUGGAGGAACACCGAUGGCGAAGGCAGCCCCCUGGGUCAAGAUUGACGCUCAUGCACGAAAGCGUGGGGAGCAAACAGG